UUAUUGUAUGUCAGUGUGGUUUUGUCUCUGUGCACACACACUUCCUGUUUGGUUUGUGUUGUUGCUCUUUAUUCUUUUCGAGUUGAAAAAGUUGGACAAAAUAGUAUUAAUUGUACUGUGAUGGCAUCAACAUAUAUUUUCAGUUGAAAAUACGUUACCCAUUCUCUCGAUUAUAACUAUUUGAUGCGUUUAUUGCGGAAUAUUCCGUUACAAACUAUCUAGAUAUUUACAUUAUUGUUUCCAGCACCCAUUUAAUUGAAGGCGACAGAGUGAGUGUGGUGCGUGAUUGCUGGUCGUGCGCUGUGAUUGGCCAGAACUUUGACCAAUGUCCUGGUCUGGUUCCAGUGUUGUCACCAUGGCAGAAUAUGUGCGCGCGGUAGGUUCGGGAAAACGCAAUUAUCAGAGUAAAUAAGUUAAUCUCCCAGCCCUACUUUAACUUCACUAGUGUUGGAAAACGACGCAAACUAUAGGGACAGCUAUAAAUGAAGGGGUGAAAACCCUUUUGCAGAGUUGACAGCAUUUACCAUUUAAAUAGCUACCGUCUGUUAGCCAACGGAUGACGUCGAAAUUAGCCUGCCCGAAGCUUUAUUUUAUUGGGUCAAGUUUCUCUGACUCGCUCAACUAAAGUUAAUGCUGUUCGCGGCCCUCCUCAAACAAACACAACACCGUACUGCAGUAACUCGAACACUAUUUCCAGAUCACAGAUGCUGAACUCAAACCACAUAACCACUUACCGUAAAGUACACACGUAAGAGAAUACAUUCCAUGGAGGUGCAGCUGCAACAUCUGCCCCCUGCAACUACUCUGAAGGUCUUAAGAAAUCGAUGGACGUCGUCCGUCAGUUCGAGUGAAAAAAUUGUGAACGGGCUCUCGGAGGUCGGGCUAAGAGUCAGCGGUGGCACAAGGAUCAAGCAUCAAGUCGUGAAUGUUAAAAGGAGAGCCGAACAAUGUCAAAAUACACAAAUGAUCUUUGACACAAAGGGUGAAAUUAAGUGCGAGAAAUUGCCAGGGUGUCUGUGAAAAGGAGGAUUAGAGUGAAUGGAGAAGCAGAGAUGGGAUUUAAAGGGGGCGCUAGAAAAUGAGAGGCAGCAACUGUCCUCCUGAAAUCCUCUGUGUCUACGAGCGGGAAGUGCUUUGAUGUUUUAUCUACAAAGUGACAAAGGCACAGACAGCAGAGUGAGCGGCUGUAGCAGCCAAAUGUACUGUAGGGGGAUUCAGGCAGCAGUGACAGGAAGAGGAAGAGGGGUGGGAGGGAGAUGGAGAGAGAGACAGAGAAGGAGAGAGAGAAACAGAAAUACGAAAACACUGAGAAGAAAAAAAAGAGUGAGGAAAAGUAAGCUGACAACUAGACAAAAGACCAGCAGCAUUAUUGAUGUGGGCCUGAAAAGUGGAAGAAAUGCUCAGAAAGAAUGAAGAGGGGUGUCUGUUAUUAUGGUGCUGCAGUGGUGACGGUGGUUAAUGCAGCAUGGUGUGACGUCAGCCUUGCAGCAGAGCUGAGUCGAACAGCUAAUCUGUCCCCUGUGUCCUGGGAAAUGAAUUGCAAUGUUGUAAUUACAACAUGUGAGUCUGCAGUGUCAGCGGCAGAGAACAAAAAAAUGUUAUCAAAGCUAAAGGUUGUGAGUUAAAAAAAAAAAUACAAUUAAACCAAUAUUUGACAACCAAAAGAAUGUGUUUAGUAAUGUUUGCAAAGCGUGUUGGAACUUAAUGCCCAGGUCAGACAUUAGGCUUGUGACGCAAAGGGCAGGAAAUAAGCCUAUGUCAAAGUUUUCAUUAUAUCAUAUUAUUUCAAUUUAAUUAUACAUUUUUUUUCUGUACAUGAUUUUUUUUUUCGUGA